rnacentral:rRNA from 1 species
CCUACGGGAGGCAGCAGUGGGGAAUAUUGCACAAUGGGGGAAACCCUGAUGCAGCGACGCCGCGUGAGUGAAGAAGUAUUUCGGUACGUAAAGCCCUAUCAGCAGGGAAGAAAAUGACGGUACCUGACUAAGAAGCCCCGGCUAACUACGUGCCAGCAGCCGCGGUAAUACGUAGGGGGCAAGCGUUAACCGGAUUUACUGGGUGUAAAGGGAGCGUAGACGGCAGCGCAAGUCUGGAGUGAAAUCCCAUGGCUUAACCAUGGAACUGCUUUGGAAACUGUGCAGCUAGAGUGCAGGAGAGGUAAGCGGAAUUCGUAGUGUAGCGGUGAAAUGCGUAGAUAUUAGGAGGAACACCAGUGGCGAAGGCGGCUUACUGGACUGUAACUGACGUUGAGGCUCGAAAGCGUGGGGAGCAAACAGGAUUAGAUACCCGUGUAGUC